ensembl:misc_RNA Y_RNA Y RNA
GGCUGGUCCGAGUGCAGUGGUGUUUACAACUAAUUGAUCAUAACCAGUUACAGAUUUCUUUGUUCCUUCUCCACUCCCACUGCUUCACUUGACUAGCCUUAA